CUCUUUCUCGAUUCAGUGGAUGGUGGUGCAUGGCCGUUCUUAGUUGGUGGAGYGAUCUGUCUGGUUAAUUCCGAUAACGAACGAGACUCUCCCCUGCUAACUAGUCGGUUGGAUCUUGAUCAGCGGGUUGCGUGCCGAGUAACUCUCGCUGUGCGUGGUGCGUCUCGGGCCUCACGGUUCGUUGCGUGCUCGUGUGGCGUUGGAUGCCUUGGAUCACACUGCACCCCAAGUCCGCCGCUCAUGCUAUAACUCUUCUUAGAGGGAUUCACGGCACUGAAGCCGUAAGAGACUGAGAGCAAUAACAGGUCUGUGAUGCCCUUAGAUGCUCUGGGCCGCACGCGCGCUACAAUGCCGGGCACAGCAGGUGUUUCUCCUGCUCCGACAGGAGCGGGUAACCCUCUGAAAGCCAGUGUUCUUGCAAGUGCUUCCUCCCUCGUGGAGUUGCACAGAGGCGUGCUUGGGCCUGGGACUUGCAAUUCUUUCCCACCAACGAGGAAUGCCUAGUAGCGGCGGGUCACUGAGCCCGCCGUGACUCAGUCCCUGCCCUUUGUACACACCGCCCGUCGCUACUACCGAUUGGGUGUACCAGUGAGAGCCUUGGACUGGCGUCCGUUGUUGCUCGCAAGAGUGACAAGCGGGUCCGACGGAAAGAGGUCCGAACUGGUGCACUUAGAGGAAGUAAAAGUCGUAACAAGGUUUCCGUAGGUGAACCUGCGGAAGGAUHAUUA
rnacentral:rRNA from 1 species